rnacentral:rRNA from 1 species
UACGAAGGGGGCUAGCGUUGCUCGGAAUUACUGGGCGUAAAGGGCGCGUAGGCGGACAUUUAAGUUAGAGGUGAAAGCCCAGGGCUCAACCCUGGAAUAGCCUUUAAUACUGGAUGUCUUGAGUUCGGGAGAGGUGAGUGGAAUGCCGAGUGUAGAGGUGAAAUUCGUAGAUAUUCGGAAGAACACCAGUGGCGAAGGCGACUCACUGGACACAUAUUGACGCUGAGGUGCGAAAGCUAGGGGAGCAAACAGG